AUAUUUUAAGACCCCAAAGGCAAAAGCCCGUCUUCUCCCUCUCUUACCCAUCUUCGCGUCUGCGACAACACUUCAUUCUUCUGCUUGACCAAUUCCCCCGAGAAGCGGGGAUUUUCUAGGGUUUUGGCUGCUAUGAUCGUGAUGGAGAGAUAGGGUUUGUUGUUUGCCGCUGAGAUUAACUAAUAAUUCCCAGAUGCCCGUGGAGGUAUGAUUCUCACGAAGCAAUAUCGGUGUGUACAUUCGGCGAGCUGCCUGUGCACAAAGGGACAUCUUAGUGAGGAUGCAAUAUUCCUAGUAUUCCAACAUUUGAACUGGAAUCCGAAGUUGAUUGCUACUAUGUCCUGUGCAUGCAAAUGGUUUGAUGAUCUUGCCAAGCGGGUGCUAUGGAAGGAGUUUUGCAGGACUAGAGCCCCAAAAAUGAUGCUGGAUCUGCAGUCUAGUGGGAGUCACAGUGUUGAUGGGAACUGGAGGGCACUUGGGAAGCUGCUUAUUUUCUGCUCGGGAUGUAAGAAGGGUGGUCUCUUCAAUAACAUUCAAAUUCCUGGUCAUUUUGUGUAUAGAACCCGAUUUUCAAGGACAUCAGGCAAGAGUUUUCUGAUGCCACAGUGCAGAACAGACAUUUUAUAUGUAUCUGAUCCUUGUGAACAUCUCGACCAAGGGGAAGAAGGAGAUAUUGGUUUUUUCCGGGGUGUUUUUAAGUCAUUUUCAAUGUCAAAGGUUAGACAAAUGCUGAUAAAAAGAGGAGCAGAGCUUCAUCCAACAGAGGUGUGCCCUUAUUGUAAGGCCAAGCUAUGGAGCAUGUUACAGGCUAAAAUGAUACCACAGAGUGCCAGCUGUAGAUUGGGUGCUUAUGAGGAUUGCAUCGACUACUAUGUCUGCCUCAACGGACAUAUGCUUGGUAUCUGCACCCUGUUACCCUUGUCCGAUUCUGAAGAGACAUCUGAGUUGGAGUGAUAGCCAAUCAUCAUACAAGAAAAGCCUCUGGUGCGUUUUUAUGUACACCAGAAGGAAGAAAGAACCACACGUGGAGCGGCUGAAUUACUUCCUAAGAACGGGUGAGAGUAUUUUUCAGUAUUUUAGUGCAUGGAAGUGUAGUAGGAGUGAGUGAGAAUGCACAGGAGAGAGGAGGGCCUACCAUGAGAGCUAGUUUUGCCAUAGUCGAAUUGUAAAGAAAAGACAAUCAGGUCGAUGAAUAUGGCAGCUCAGUCAACCCUGGAUCUCAGGUAGAUUGGAUGAACUUGGCCUCUUGUCCGUUCAACUUUUCUUCGGUGGAAUUGGUUUCAUCCAGAAUUCUGCAGCUUAGAGUUUCCUGGCCAAAUGUUCCAUGGUGAAGCCAGUAGCUUUAGAAGCUUUAGCUGACCAGAUUUUUGUCAAAACAAAAAAGAGCAUCCUUUUUACUUGAAAGGUUGUGUGUGAACCAUGUAAUUUUCCAUGUAAAUUAACCUCUGAUCUCUAUACAUGAUAUGGUGAUGAUGACUGCAAUGCCAAUGAUUAUAUAGCUUUGUGUUUGUUAGA